rnacentral:rRNA from 1 species
CCUGAGAAACCCAAAAGAUCGAAUGGGGAGAUUCAUCGUCAGCGUGGCUGGCUUCCGUGCGGUUCGCGAUGGCCGGGACCUCGGUCCCGCGUCACGCGUCCGCCGCGGUAUGCCCGGCCGCGUCGGCGUGCACUUCUCCCCUAGUAGGACGUCGCGACCCGUUGGGUGUCGGACCGAUGGCCGUUUGGUCGCCUGUCUCGUCGCGUUUACGCGUGCACGUGGCAGACCGAAAUGGUCGAGCGUCCGGCUGCCCGGCGGUAUAGAACGCUAUUGAACGGUAAUGAGCCGCAUUAAGUGCGUUCAGGCUCGUCGGCAGGCUCGUCUCGCCCGGAUUUACGGACCUAGCGCCGUUGCCGGGUGCUUGGCGUGGCUGUUAGUCGGCGGUGUCCUCGGACUGGCUCUAAAAUUCGAAAGGAUUACCGGUCGGCGACGCUACUGCUUUGGGUACUUUC